rnacentral:lncRNA from 1 species
AUAUAGCAGCUCAAAUUUAUCUGCUUCAGCGCCAGCCUCUGCAGUGUUCUGUGAGAAAUACUUGCUCUAUUGUGCUGCUCACGAGCACACGCACACACACACGGUGACAGUGCAGACGAUUUUCUUAUAGUUUUCAAUUCUAUCUAUGCACCAAUAAGUUUUUUUGCAUGUUUUUUUCCUUGUGCAUAAUCAUUUUCUUAUUCUAAUUUCUUUUGAAAUGUUUCGAUUAAGAAUAAAACAUGGCAAUUUGAAUGUUAAAAGUUUUGGAAUAGGCAUGUUGUAUGCUUUUGAUAGUAUUGAUUUAUUCUUGAUUGAAUGACAAUUGAUGUGAAAAAAGAAAGCAUUAUUUUUAGUGGAAAUGCAGAAGUAAAAGAAUAUUGUGGGCUAUAGAGAUUUGGGCAUAAUCUUUGGGUAGAUGUUGUGUAUUCCUGUACCAGACUUCACAAAUUGGUCUGUAAAUGUUGGGAUGUGUAAUUGAAGAAAAUGUGAAGGAUACCAUUUUGUUGGUCUUGUUUGAUUGCUCUUAAGGGGAAAGUAGGACAGAAGCGAAUGCUAUCCUAGGACAUCAACACCGGUUAGAAAUAUUGGCACUUGUUAUUUGUAUUAAAUAUUGUUUUCUAGAAACCAUUUCAAUAACUGAUCCUGGCUAUUGAAAAUGGAGAUUACAGUUGAACAUCAACGUGUUUGUUUAUUUCAGAGAAUGGA